GAUGAACGCUGGCGGCGUGCCUAAUACAUGCAAGUCGAGCGAACAGACGAGGAGCUUGCUCCUCUGACGUUAGCGGCGGACGGGUGAGUAACACGUGGAUAACCUACCUAUAAGACUGGGAUAACUUCGGGAAACCGGAGCUAAUACCGGAUAAUAUAUUGAACCGCAUGGUUCAAUAGUGAAAGACGGUUUUGCUGUCACUUAUAGAUGGAUCCGCGCCGCAUUAGCUAGUUGGUAAGGUAACGGCUUACCAAGGCAACGAUGCGUAGCCGACCUGAGAGGGUGAUCGGCCACACAGGAACUGAGACACGGCCCAGACUCCUACGGGAGGCAGCAGUAGGGAAUCUUCCGCAAUGGGCGAAAGCCUGACGGAGCAACGCCGCGUGAGUGAUGAAGGUCUUCGGAUCGUAAAACUCUGUUAUUAGGGAAGAACAAAUGUGUAAGUAACUAUGCACGUCUUGACGGUACCUAAUCAGAAAGCCACGGCUAACUACGU
rnacentral:rRNA from 1 species